rnacentral:rRNA from 1 species
AUGUCAAUAAGCGGAAAAAAGAAACUGAUAUGGAUUCAAUUAGUAGCGGCGAAUGAACCGGGAACAGUCCAGCGUUAUAUCGGUACGUUUCGGCGUACCGACAGCGUCUCAGAGCACAAGUUUUCCAUGACCGGGUGCCAAAGAAGGUGAAAGGCCUGUAGCGCUCGAGACGUUGGCCAAUUGUUUCGACUUAAAGUCGGGUUGUUUGGGAUCGCAGCCCAAAGCAGGUGGUAAACUUUACCUAACGACUAAA